AUCGCGCAAUCCCAAUCGCAACGCGAUCCAUAAUAUUCGUUAUUAAUGUCGAUAAGGAAAAGCCUUCAUUAAUAUGUAUAUAUAUCACUCAUCUACUGCAACAAUGACAUAACACAAAAAUUACGAUUUUAGAAAAAACUCAGUUUGAAUGUAUCGAAUCGUUGUAACUUUGUUAAGACCAUAUCUCUAUGGUUAAAAUAUGACGUUAAAAUUCAUUGAAUGAGCGAUAUAUCGAUAACCACUAGAUAUCGAUAUACGAUAAUAUAAAAAAUGCAUCGAUUGAAAAUUAAUAUCAUUCAUAUCUUAAAAGAUUCAGAACAGGAAGCAUCGUUAAUUAUGAAAUAAUAGAGGGUUGAUUUAAAAGUUAAACGUAUUCAAAUGGUAUUCGAAUCGUAUCUCUAACCUAACCCUAUUAUCUCGUUUUCUGGCGAGUUAUAUAACAAUGUCGAGAGAACAAUGGAUUUGAAAUGCAAAUAAAAACAGAGGUACAUAUCCUUGUACAACAUGGUAGGCCUGCAACAUUUGCUCUAAUACGAUUUGAAAAUUGAGGAAAUUCUGCACGCAACAUAGUAGGCAAUGAGAAUUUUUAAGUGCAAGUAGUAUAAUUCGAUAUUCAUUAUUCGAGCAAAUGUGCAAGAAUUUUGGAAUACAUACGGAAAUUUUUAAUUCAUUUCUAGGAAAGUAGCAAUUUGGAGCUUUUCUGAUGAAAAAUCGAUGACAUUUUUUUACAACAAACGUAAAUGGAAAUCGUACAUAAAUCAACGAAAAUCAGAAGAUGAGGAUAUUUUGCCAGAAAGGAAAUUGCCCUCGCUUACGUAAUAUACGUAAUACGUAAUUCUCUUAAUUGUAGAUUGUUUCAAUAAAGAUAUUUCUCUUAGUUAUAAACAGAGAAUAAUAUACUUUUGUUAAUUUUCAUUCAGAUUCGCUAAGAUUGGAAUGUAACUGUACCGUGUUAUACGAGGAUACCUGUAUUCCGUCUUUGAAACCUUAAAUGCAAAUAUAAUAUUGAGAACGUAUAUUGAAGUAUGUAUAUAAAUGUAUAUCGUCUUUAAAACGUUCAAUGCAAAUGUAUAUAAAUGUAUAUCGACAAAAAUUUGUUGAAAUUGAUCAAUUUUGCUUCUGAUUAACUUAAUUAAAUAAAUAAAUCAUCUGUUAAAAAAGAUACUAAAAUAUUUUGCACACUAGAUCGCUUUUGAAAGUAUGGAAAGUAAAAUUUAUAUAUUCCAUCUCUAAAAAGUUAAAUAGUAAUCUAAAUACAUACUGAUAAAAUUAAAACAUUCUUUAAAAAUUUGCUGGAAUUGAUCAACUUCGCUUCUAACUGACUUAAUUAAAUAGAUAAAUGAAUUAUCUAAUUAUACAGACAAUCAAAUUUUCAUAUAC